GCGUGGAUGGUGUAGCGGUAACAUUGGGUCUUCCCAUGGCCUAGCUCCGGGUUCGACUCCCGGUUCACGCA